GUCUACAGUCAUGUUACCCUGAACAAGCCCAAUCCCGUCUGAUCUCAGAAGCUAAGCAGGGUCGGGCCUGGUUAGUACAUGGAUGGGAGACCAGGAAGACCAGGUGCUGUAGGUA
rnacentral:rRNA from 1 species